UGCCAGCAGCCGCGGUAAUACGGAGGGGGCGAACGUUGCUCGGAUUUACUGGGCGUAAAGCGACCGCAGGCGGUUAGUUUAGUCAGAUGUGAAAUCCCGGUGCUCAACGCCGGAACUGCAUUUGAAACUGGCUAACUAGAGUCAUCAAGAGGAGAUCGGAAUUACCAGUGUAGAGGUGAAAUUCGUAGAUAUUGGUAGGAACACCAGUGGCGAAGGCGGCUAACUGACUCGGUACUGACGCUGAGAUGCGAAAGCGUGGGGAGCAAACAGGAUUAGAUA
rnacentral:rRNA from 1 species